rnacentral:rRNA from 1 species
CCUGACGCAGCGACGCCGCGUAGGGAAGAUUAUGACGGUACUUCUUGAAUAAGCACCGCGCAAGCGUUAUUCGGAAUCACUGGGCGUAAAGGGUGCGUAGGCUGACUUUUAAGUCAGGUGUGAAAUCCAAUGGCUUAACCAUUGAACUGCACUUGAAACUGGGAGUCUAGAGUUCAGAAGGGGCAGAUGGAAUUAGUGGUGUAGGGGUAAAAUCCGUAGAUAUCACUAGGAAUAUCAAAAGCGAAGGCGAUUUGUUGGGAUGAUACUGACGUUGAGCCACGAAAGCGUGGGGAGCAACCAGGAUUAGAUACCCUGGUAGUCCACCCCUUAAACGAUGAAUGUUAGUGGUCGGGGUACUCGUUCCUUCGGUGAUGCAGUUAACAGAAUAAGCAUUCCGCCUGGGGAGUACGGUCGCAAGAUUAAAACUCAAAGGAAUUGACGG